rnacentral:rRNA from 1 species
CUACGGGAGGCAGCAGUGGGGAAUAUUGGACAAUGGGCGAAAGCCUGAUCCAGCAAUGCCGCGUGAGUGAUGAAGGCCUUAGGGUUGUAAAGCUCUUUUAACCCGGGAUGAUAAUGACAU